rnacentral:tRNA from 1 species
AGGGGCGUGGUUCAAUGGUAGAAUAGGGGUCUCCAAAACCUUUGACGUGAGUUCGAUUCUUACCGCCCCUG